rnacentral:rRNA from 1 species
AUUGAACGCUGGCGGCAGGCCUAACACAUGCAAGUCGAACGAGUGGCGGACGGGUGAGUAAUGUGUGGGAAACUGCCUGAUGGAGGGGGAAAACUACUGGAAACGGUCGCUAAUACCGCAUACCAUCAGAUGUACCCAGAUGGGAUUAGCUAGUUGGUGGGGUAACGGCUCACCAAGGCGACGAUACCUCGCUGGUCUGAGAGGAUGACCGCCAACUCUGGCACUGAGACACGGUCCAGACGCCUCCGGAAGGACGCAGUGGGGAAUAUCGCACAAGGGGCGCAAGCCUGAUGCAGCCAUGCCGCGUGUAGGAAGCAGGCCUUCGGGUUGUAAAGUACUUUCAGCGGGGAGGCGUUACCCGCAGAAGAAGCACCGGCUAACUCCGUGCCAGCAGCCGCGGUAAUUC